rnacentral:hammerhead_ribozyme from 1 species
AUCCAGCUCACGAGUCCCAAAUAGGACGAAACGCGCGUCAAACUGAAU